UCCGUAGGCGGUGCGGCAAGUCGGAAGUGAAAUCUCCGGGCUUAACUCGGAGGCUGCUUCCGAAACUGCCGUGCUCGAGUGCGAGAGAGGCAAGUGGAAUUGCGGGUGUAGCGGCGAAAUGCGUAGAUAUCCGCAGGAACAUCCGAGGCGAAAGCGGCUUGCUGGAUCGCAACUGACGCUGAGGGACGAAAGCUAGGGGAGCAAACAGGAUUAGAUACCCUGGUAGUCCUAGCCCUAAACCAUCAGGACUUGGGGUUUGCCCUGUACGGGGCAAGUCCCGGAGCUAACGCGUUAAGUCCUGCGCCUGGGGAGUACGGUCGCAAGGCUGAA
rnacentral:rRNA from 1 species